CAAUAAACCCGACAGUAACGUAUAUCCUUUUAAUCAGUACAAUUUCUAAGUAUUCGGUCUCAAAGGCCAUGGAAUAAACUGCGCUAACAACUUGCUGCAGCUAUUUAUUAAAAGAUUGUAGUGAAUGGCGGAACUGCUG
rnacentral:sRNA from 1 species